rnacentral:rRNA from 1 species
GACGAACGCUGGCGGCGUGCUUAACACAUGCAAGUCGAACGGAAAGGCUCCAGCUUGCUGGAGUACUCGAGUGGCGAACGGGUGAGUAACACGUGGGUGAUCUGCCCUGCACUUCGGGAUAAGCCUGGGAAACUGGGUCUAAUACCGGAUAGGACCGCACUUUGGUGUGUGUGGUGGAAAGGUUUUUCUGGUGUGGGAUGAGCUCGCGGCCUAUCAGUUUGUUGGUGGGGUAAUGGCCUACCAAGACGGCGAGGGGUAGCCGGCCUGAGAGGGUGGACGGUCACAUUGGGACUGAGAUACGGCCCAGACGCCUACGGGAGGCAGCAGUGGGGAAUAUUGCACAAUGGGGGAAACCCUGAUGCAGCGACGCCGCGUGGGGGAUGAAGGCCUUCGGGUUGUAAACUCCUUUCGCUAGGGACGAAGCUUUUUGUGACGGUACCUGGAGAAGAAGCACCGGCUAACUACGUG